AUUGAACGCUGGCGGCAUGCCUUACACAUGCAAGUCGAACGGCAGCACGGGUGCUUGCACCUGGUGGCGAGUGGCGAACGGGUGAGUAAUACAUCGGAACGUACCUUAUCGUGGGGGAUAACGCAGCGAAAGCUGUGCUAAUACCGCAUACGCCCUGAGGGGGAAAGCGGGGGAUCGAAAGACCUCGCGCGACUAGAGCGGCCGAUGCCUGAUUAGCUUGUUGGUGGGGUAAAAGCCCACCAAGGCGACGAUCAGUAGCUGGUCUGAGCGGAGGAUCAGCCAGACUGGGACUGAGACACGGCCCGGACUCCUACGGGAGGCAGCAGUGGGGAAUUUUGGACGAUGGGGGCAACCCUGAUCCAGCAAUGCCGCGUGAGUGAAGAAGGCCUUCGGGUUGUAAAGCUCUCUUGUCAGGGAAGAAACACCGGCUCUAACACAGUCCGGGAAUGACGGUACCUGAAGAAUAAGCACCGGCUAACUACGUGCCAGCCGCCGCCGUAA
rnacentral:rRNA from 1 species